GGAUAGCUGGCUGAGUGGUUGAAGGCGCACGCCUGGAAAGUGUGUUUAGGUUUAUCCCUAACAAGAGUUCGAAUCUCUUGCUAUCCGCCA
rnacentral:tRNA from 1 species